GUCUACAGCCAUGCCACCCUGAAUGCUCCAGAUCCUCAUCUGAUCUCAGAAGCUAAGCAAGGUCAGGUCUGGUUAGUACUUCAUUGGGAGACCACCUGGGAAUACUGGAUGCUGUAGGAG
rnacentral:rRNA from 1 species